CCUAGCGGUGUCAGAUUGGUGACAGGGAGUCUAGAGGUGUCAGAGUGGUGACAGGGGGUCUAGCGGUGUCUGAGUGGUGACAGGGAGUCUAGAGGUGUCUGAGUGGUGACAGGGUCCCUAGCGGUGUCAGAGUGGUGACAGGGGGUCUAGCGGUGACAGAGUGGUGACAGGGAGUCUAGAGGUGUCAGAGAAGUGACAGGGAGUCUAGCGGUGUCAGAGGGGUGACAGGGAGUCUAGCGGUGUCAGAGAGGUGACAGGGAGUUGAAACUAGAUUCACUCUGAAAAACAAUGCUCUUGCUGAGCCACUAUCACAGAAUAAUAACAUCAUUUUUCAGAGGCACGUAAGAUAAGGCCAAAUAGAUCAAUCUGAUUCUCUCUCGCUGUUUACCAUGGUGAUUGUUAUCCAGUCAAUUUAACAAUCUGAUUCUCUCUCAU
rnacentral:lncRNA from 1 species